rnacentral:lncRNA from 1 species
GUUGCAAACUCCAUUAGAAAUUUUAAUUGAGAUUAGUUUUGGAAUAAGGGAAAGGGGGAUGUGAUUAAAAAAAUUGGGUUCAAUUUUUCUCAUUUGAAAUUUCAUAAAUAAAAAAGAAAAUUUCUUCAAACAUUUUUUAUGCCCACCUACGAUAGUAGAGGGGCAUUAUGUUUUCUGGUCUGUGCGUCCGUCCGUCUGUCCGUUCGUUCGUCCGUUCGUUCGUCCGUCCGUUUGUCCGUCCGUCUGUCCCGCUUCAGGUUAAAGUUUUUGGUCAAGAUAGUUUUUGAUGAAGUUUAAGUCCAAUCGACUUCAAACUUAGUACACAUGUCCCCUAUGAUAUGAUCUU